GACGAACGCUGGCGGCGUGCCUAAUACAUGCAAGUAGAACGCUGAAGGAGGAGCUUGCUUCUCUGGAUGAGUUGCGAACGGGUGAGUAACGCGUAGGUAACCUGCCUGGUAGCGGGGGAUAACUAUUGGAAACGAUAGCUAAUACCGCAUAAGAGUAGAUGUUGCAUGACAUUUGCUUAAAAGGUGCAAUUGCAUCACUACCAGAUGGACCUGCGUCGUAUUAGCUAGUUGGUGGGGUAACGGCUCACCAAGGCGACGAUACAUAGCCGACCUGAGAGGGGGGGCAGCCACACUGGGAGGGUGACACGGCCCAGACUCCCUCGGGAGGGAGCAGGAGGGAAACGUGGGGAAGGGGCGGAAGACUGUGCGAACAACGCCGCGGGAGGGAAGAAGGUUUUCGGGUCGGAAAGAUCGGUUGUAAGGGAAGAACGAGUGUGAGAGUGGAAAGUUCACACUGUGACGGUAACUUACCAGAAAGGGACGGCUAACUACGUG
rnacentral:rRNA from 1 species